rnacentral:rRNA from 1 species
UACGUAGGGUGCAAGCGUUGUCCGGAAUUAUUGGGCGUAAAGAGCUCGUAGGCGGUCUGUCGCGUCGGAUGUGAAAAUCCAGGGCUCAACCCUGGACCUGCAUUCGAUACGGGCAGACUAGAGUUCGGCAGGGGAGACUGGAAUUCCUGGUGUAGCGGUGAAAUGCGCAGAUAUCAGGAGGAACACCGGUGGCGAAGGCGGCAUCCUGGACCGAGAUUGACGCUGAGGCGCGAAAGCUAGGGUAGCAAACGGG